AGAGGGUGCGAGCGUUGUCCGGAAUCACUGGGCGUAAAGGGCGCGUAGGCGGUUCGCUAAGCGUGCGGUGAAAGCUCGGGGCUCAACCCCGCGUCGGCCGUGCGAACUGGUGGACUGGAGCAUGUCAGAGGCAGGCGGAAUUCCGGGUGUAGCGGUGGAAUGCGUAGAGAUCCGGAAGAACACCGGUGGCGAAGGCGGCCUGCUGGGACAUUGCUGACGCUGAGGCGCGACAGCGUGGGGAGCAAACAGGAUUAGAUACCCUGGUAGUCCACGCCGUAAACGAUGGGCACUAGGUGCUUGGGGGAGCGACCCCCUGAGUGCCGGCGCUAACGCAUUAAGUGCCCCGCCUGGGGAGUACGGCCGCAAGGCUG
rnacentral:rRNA from 1 species